CAGACCCUCGCUGAUAAUUUAGUGGGCAAAUCGAUGUUUCGUUUGUAUAUUCCGGCUUAGUGCCUCUCGAGGGUAAAAGACGUUAUCUACUAUGGUUCGGAAAUGUUAGUUGCGUAAAUAACGUCUAGAAUUGGCCAUUAGUUUAGCCAUUGAAGAGUCUUGCUGGUUCGCAGCGUCUCCAUCGGUUCGGGAAACUGCUGUGGAGCUAAGGCGCCAUUUUGUUGCAUUAUACGGCGCAGCUGGAGGCCCGUGCGUGAUCCUCCUGAUUAUUGUUUGCUCUUAGACGCUUAGUCUGGGUGUAAGGGGGUAGUGGUUGAGCACAACUAGGGUACACCAUUUCGGGGAAUAAGUUUGAUUCCUGCCGUCGGCCGGGUUACUGGGUUUAGUUCUGAAUAAAAAAAAUCCCCUUUAGCCACAACAAUCUGUAAGCAACGCAAGCAUUGUCUUGAGAAAUGCGAGCCUCGAGAUAUUUGUCUCAAGUAUGUGAUCAAGUAAAAAUUUACUGGAACUGACAGUGGAAGUGGCGUGCACAAAAGUAAUAACUAAGUCAUACCGAGGUAGACCUGAAACGGCGAUGUUUAAUCGACUGAUACAUAUUGUCCUAUUAUCGUCGAUUAUUUUCGAAGUGCUUGGUCAAAGAAAAUGCCCCUGCAGCCGCCCCAAUGAAGUAUGCAAGGAAGCAAACCCUUGCCGUGAGCAAUGCUCGCCACCCGGCAUUUGCCCGCCCGACACAAUAAAAGCAUGUUUCUGCGAGGAGAGAUACUGUCUUGAUCUAGAAUCCGGAAGAUGUGUAGUUAAUCCCAGAGCAUAAUAUUUAUUGUACAGUGUAAAAUUGGGAAUAAAGUGUUGUGGAAACUUCAACAACUAUAAUUAGAAAACGUUUUCUAUUACUUCCAUUGUAAUUUAUAAAAUUAUUUUUUGAAUAGCCUCUUCGAGAGUGUAUAUUUUAGAAUUUGAGGGGGUAAAAUUCGAUCGCAGAUUGUGUUGUCAUAUUCUAUAUCGCUAACAGCCUAGUAUUUCACUUUAAACUUGUUAUAGAAGCUAAAAAUUGAAAAGUUUGAAAGUUUUGGUUUAUUUUUGCCAGCAAUAAAAAUGGUAAGGCUACCUCAACUUAGCAUUAUCAUCUGGGUAGAUUCACGGUAGGGAAAAUUUAAUAAGCGAAAA